UUGCCACAUAUCUGUUAAAGAUAAAUCCCACAUCGAAAAUAGAGACCAACUUCUAAAAUUUUGAAUUACUUCCUUAAUAAUAUUGAUCUUUUACAUUGAAAAUAGAGAUCAACUUCUAAAAUUUUGAGUUACUUCCUUAAUAAUAUUGACCUUUUAAGAUAGAAUAUCAAAUCUUAAUAUGGUAAAGCCCAUCAAACUCCACGAACAAUUAGAUCCUAUUAAGACUCAAAAAAUGAGUACGUGAAUUUCAAGAUUGGUUUGUCAAACGAGCCACCAUCUUGUGGGGUGCAAAUUAAUGAAUAAAUCCCACAUCGAAUAAAGAUGGAAGCAUAGAUAAAUUUAUAAAAAUUUAGAUUACCACUCUUAAAAAGAUUGAUAUUUUAAGAUGGAACCCAAAUUUUAAUAACAUCUUGGGACGAUCAUCGAUGAUAGCCUCAUAUUCUGUUCAGAACAGGUACUUCCCUUCUCAUUCCCAAUUUUGUUUAUGUAGCUUACAAUUCAAAAGGUUGUGACUCAUAGUUAAGUGUUGUAACUCUUGGGAAGAGUUGGGAAUAAAUCUAUUUACAUAUUCAAAGUUUAUUUAGUUGCUGAUAAUGAAAAAUACAACGAGAUUGGACGUUCAAUUUCUCUAAUGCUAUCUUUUUCAUUUUUUUCAAACUUCUUGCAUUAAAACGACUUUUUGUUUAUUCAUUUUUCUUAAAUAUUGUUUGUACUUCAUUUAUUAAAGUAUAAACAUCGAGUAUAGAUUUCAAUUUUUUUUUAUGUUAACAUUGACUUUAUGUGUGCACAAUGCAACAACUGUUAAAUUAAGAUCUUCAAUGUAUCAUGGAGGCAUAUUUUCAUUUUUGGCAACAUCAUGGCUUAGUGAAGAAAAAUAACAUCUUGAGAAAAGCCAUUGCAUUCCUCGAAGCCGGUUGUGGUUUAGCUCGGGUUACCACUUACCAUGAUUUUCAAUUUUUUUUGUUUAUUCAUAUUGCCAAGUCAACAUUGGAGGAUCCCCACCAAGAAUCUUAUGUUAUUCUCAAGUGAAGUUUGUAAUAGCAUAUCCGAUAUCUUCAUUAUAAGAUUUACAGUAGCUUUUAUAAAGUUGGAAAGGUUCAACGGUGCUAUUUUCUAACAUGGCGAAAAAAAUUCGCUCACAACCCUUCAAAGUAGUGUAUGUGCUUAUAACUCAAAGGUAAAAAGAGACGGAAAAUGAACUUUUGGCAAAUACAAGGGC
rnacentral:lncRNA from 1 species